CCUACGGGAGGCAGCAGUGGGGAAUAUUGCACAAUGGGGGAAACCCUGAUGCAGCGACGCCGCGUGAGUGAAGACGGAUCUCGGUAUGGAAAGCUCUAUCAGCAGGGAAGAAAAUGACGGUACCUGACUACGAAGCCACGGCUAACUACGUGCCAGCAGCCGCGGCAACACGUAGGGGGCAAGCGUUAUCCGGAUUUACUGGGUGUAAAGGGAGCGUAGACGGCAGAGCAAGUUUGAAGUGAAAGCCCGCGGCCCAACUGCGGGACUGCUUUGGAAACUGCCGGGCUAGAGUGCUGGAGAGGUAAGCGGAAUGCCUGGUGUAGCGGUGAAAUGCGUAGAUAUUAGGAAGAACACCGAUGGCGAAGGCAGCUUACUGGACAGUAACUGACGUUGAGGCUCGAAAGCGUGGGGAGCAAACAGGAUUAGAUACCCGAGUAGUC
rnacentral:rRNA from 1 species